rnacentral:lncRNA from 1 species
GGGGUUAAACGCUUCCAGGGAAAUCAUAGUUAGAGUUCCUAUAGAAAUCACCAUCUGCUUCAGGAAGUGGAAUCGAAGGUUGAAGAGCUGACAAUAUCAUAUGUUUGGAGAUCCUUUAUUUGCAGCAGUACACAUGCAAUUUUGAGCAAGUGGGCUUUUGGAUGGAUGCAUUUAAAAAAAAUUCUGGGGAGCCAUUCUGGAGCCCAUAAAAGCACAUUAAGGAGUUAGCUACCUACUUUGCUUUUGUGUGAGACUGGCCCUGUCUGCCUAUAAUAAAGUGAGUUUAUUUUGUUAUAAGUAGAAUCUU